rnacentral:rRNA from 1 species
UACGUAGGGGGCUAGCGUUGUCCGGAUUUAUUGGGCGUAAAGAGCGUGUAGGCGGCCAGGUAGGUCUGCUGUGAAAACUCGAGGCUCAACCUCGAGACGUCGGCGGAAACCAUCUGGCUAGAGUCCGGAAGAGGAGAGUGGAAUUCCUGGUGUAGCGGUGAAAUGCGCAGAUAUCAGGAAGAACACCCGUGGCGAAGGCGGUUCUCUGGGACGGCACUGACGCUGAGACGCGAAAGCGUGGGGAGCGAACAGG